GACGAACGCUGGCGGCGUGCUUAACACAUGCAAGUCGAACGGAAAGGCCCUGCUUUUGUGGGGUGCUCGAGUGGCGAACGGGUGAGUAACACGUGAGUAACCUGCCCUUGACUAUGGGAUAACUUCAGGAAACUGGGGAUAAUACCGGAUAGGAGCACCUGCUGCAUGGUGGGGGUUGGAAAGUUUCGGCGGUUGGGGAUGGACUCGCGGCUUAUCAGCUUGUUGGUGGGGUAGUGGCUUACCAAGGCUUUGACGGGUCGCCGGCCUGAGAGGGUGACCGGCCACAUUGGGACUGAGAUACGGCCCAGACUCCUACGGGAGGCAGCAGUGGGGAAUAGUGCAUAAUGGGCUGAAGCCUGAUGCAGCAACGCCGCGUGCGGGAUAACGGCCUUCGGGUUGUAAUCCGCUUUCGCCUGUGACGAAGCGUGAGUGACGGUAAUGGGUAAAGAAGCACCGGCUAACUACGUG
rnacentral:rRNA from 1 species